ensembl:lncRNA
AGAAACUCCAGAACCCAAAGCAAAUUUUCCUGCCCGGUACAAGGAGGACAUAUUUUCACUGACUGUUUCCAUGGAAAUAAAUCGGAGGCAUUACUUUUGGAGCAACUAUGCGGCCCAAGAUAAUUUGUCUUGACUCAGUGUGAUCCAGGCAAGCCAAAAGGUUGCACACCCAUGAAAUAAGCCAAGAAAGUACAUGGACUGCAAGAAAAUUCUUUUUGGUCUACUGACAUCCCUGUUUAAUUAAUAAGUGCUGUCACACAUUCAGCAAGCACGCAUAUCGCUCUUGGUCUUGGUAAGAGCCACUCUCUUUUCCAGUGCUGUGAGUCAUUCAGUCUUCACAAGGUUUUGUCCUCUUCACCAGUCACAAAAAAAUAUUUGUUUGGAAUUUGGUAAACUGAAGUGGAAGUGUCCUCGCCGCUGAGAAUUUACACUGGGACCAGAAUGAUGCCUGCUCUUCCCUCACACAAGGAUGCAGAGCCUAUCGAAGGAAGGGAAUUACAAAAUGACAAGGAUAUGUCCGUACAGUGGGCUCUGCUGUUGUCUCUGAUCUCUCAGUGAUGGAACAUCAGGAUUCCCCAAGAUGUGUACAGACAACUAAUGCCACCCGCAUGCUGGAAUUCGAAAGUUUAUUUUAGUUUUGAUUGUAGUUGUUUUUGUUUUUUUCUCUCUAUCUGGAACAGUGGUUUUCUUAUUACCUGCCAGCCUACUAACAGGACAAAUCUCAGUCGCAGACAGCAGGAUUACAAAACUGAAGUUGCCAUUGUGCUUUUAGGAUCAUAUGAGCCACUUGGUGCAGUACACACAGAGCAGCUAAAAUAACCAGAAGCAGAGAAGUCAGUGAACAAGGGGUGAUGCCAUCUCUGAGACACAAAGUUAUAACAGAGUAAGCUGACAUUAUAAAGUGGCUGGAGAAGCUGUGUACUUCCUACAGCAGUAGAGGAGCAUGAAGUGCAAUCCUCCAUCAUUUUUGAGGAGAGAAACUCCGUCUGCAAGCUGUGAAAGCAAACUGGUCGUGUGAUUGCUGUCUGAAGGAGUAUCCUUUGAUACCUAUUGAUUCAAUUGAUUUCAUUUUGUGGAAUGGGUUGGAAAGGGCUGAUCUUUGUCUUCUGUCACAAGGACUGGGAAUUAAAUCAUUCUGUCGCCUUGGGCUCUGAUCAUGUUAAUUCCACAGCCAACAGGCAAACAUGGGCAUGGUGCCUGGCACAGUGGUGAUCUGUACUGUCAUUCAGAAGAUGAAACUGUGCGACAUUCACUAGGAGCCAACUGAAAAGUCACCGGAGGCACCCUGUGGCCUUUUCUUUUGAUGCAUAAACAGAUUUUACUGGAAGGGGGGAGAGUUGCCCAUUGCACCAGAUCAACUCUGCUUUUUCACAUCACUGCUUGGUUGCUGAUGUUGGUCCCUGGCACAGGGCUCUUCAAUUUUCAUCAGACUACUAAGAAUCCCCUCAGUAUUUCAAUGAGAGCAUUUAGGAUACUAAGAUAUAUCUGGUUUGCUUUGGAGUUUUUAUUGUUGUUGCUGAUUUUUUCCAAUCUGUGGAAGGAACUGUCACUAGGAAACCACUGUGGUACGGGAACUAUAUGAAUUCUGCAGUCUUCUUCAUAUCUCUUUAUCAAGUGAUAGAUACAGCCUGUCCACUCCAUUCUUUCCCUUUUUCCUAUUCUGUGACAGCAAAUAAAGACACCAGCUAAAGCCGGUUGUGGAGAUUAGGGCUGUUUUCAGCUCACCUUCUUAGCAAAACAAGGCUUACAUGCUUACUCUGCAUGUAAUCUUAAUGUCUUAUGAACACUUCUAGCCAAUCUCUCCCAAACAUAUCAGAAAAGCUGAGUUACCAGCACACUUACUUCCUACAUUUUCUUCCAGUUCAGUCAAAAGGAGCAGCCCAAAAAAUCAUCAGCAGCAUUUUUCUGCUGUAAGUGGGAAAGGUAGAAAAACAGCAGGAGAACUUUAUAUUUGCACAAGGAGAUAAUAUAAAUCUCACUUUCAAUCACUUAGUAUCCAUUCACUGAGAGAUGCACAUCCACAAGAAAGGAGGUGCGCAGCAACCCACGUUUUCUUAUGUGAAUACUUGUCAACUAGUAGACAAAUCAAACAAGUCAGUUGGUUCUUUGCAGGCUUACACUUGUGGCAUUGAACUUAAAUCAUUCCUAUUUCUGAAUUCUGGUCCUGAGUUUAGGUAAUGAUUUCUUUCUCAGUAGUGACUUUCUGUACUGGUUGAAACAUAAACUACUUAAAUGACUGUACUCAAUACUUAUUUAUUGUCUCUUGCAGAAUUAUCUUUCCCAAACCUUUCUUGAACUAUAAUGUUAAUCUGGGGAGCUCUGGAUGUAGUCCAUCCUGGAUGUCUGCUCCAGAUAAUACAAAAAAACCCUGAAUUUUUCAUAAUUCUUUCUAUACAUGCAUGUUGGUUUCUCAGGUAUGUGAUUUAUGGACUCUUUCAGCAUCACUUUCUGCUUUUGAGAAGAUACAGAAAAAAUAGCAGCCCUAAUGCAAGGGGAAGAUGUGAGGAAAAUCAAAAAGCUUUGUGUUCCCAGAGCAGUAAAAAAAUACCUCAAAAUGUUUUUCUUAAGAAAACAGUUUCUGGCAUGACCAGGAUGUUUUCAACUCAACUUUCUUCUACCUUGUUUAUACAGGUGAUCAUCAGUUUUCUUCAGCUUCUGGUCUAUCAGUCUCAGAGGAUAUUUACAGAUCGUAUAAUAUUGAAUUAGAAUCAUGGAAGUGUUAAUGUGCAAUAUAUGCAACAGAAUGGUGGCUACAAAUUAACACCAGUGUCCAAUCCUUCAGAAAAAAUAAUAGAAAUAUGCUACUGCUGAGAUUUAAUGCAAAGUGAAUGAAAAGAAACAGUGACAAUACUUCUCCAUGCUUUCAGAAUUAAGAGGAUUCUAACACUAAUCAAAACCUUUCACACAUUCUUUUUUCCCAUGCUGAAAAUGGAUCAAAGUUUGAAAAUACAACUCAGAGAUUAUUAUGUUUGCAUGCGUAUUUUACAAUCUAUAAACAAGACCUUUACUAAGCAAGCAACUUCUCUAUGGAAAAAGUUCAAUUUCCCAUAAAGAAUUCACGGGAAGAUCUGUAUGUUCAAAAUAUACUUUCUAUUUAUUUCACCCCAGAAAUUCAUCUGACCAAUUUCUUUUCCAGGAAGGGGGAUAAGUGAAAACAUAUGCUUGGUCAUUCUGUAUUUUUUUAACUUCUUGAAUUUCAGCAGUAAGGAGAUUAACUUGACUCAGUAUAAACUAGGGAUGGAAAGAUCUUUGAUGCAGCUGUGAAACUUUCUGCUUCUUUCAGAGCUGAAUGAACACAGCAACAGAGACAUCUGCCACAUCUGCUUCUGUUAUAAAGCAUCGAGUAUAUUGAGGAAGAUAAUGCUUGGUCAUGGUACAUGUUAAUAUCACCUACUGACAAAGCAGGGUUUUCUUAUGUUCAGUUAUGUACACUGACCUGGUAUUAAGUGGAAGGAUCACUGCCCUUUUACAACCUUUUGUACUUGUUCAAUAGCUUUUGAUUCUGUUUGGAGAACCCGUUUCUUGUUAAAAACUUGAGCAACCAAAUCCAUCCUCCUUGAGCAUUGCUGCUCAUAUACCACAGAAUCACCAAAUUCUUGUGGGCUUUCCAAAGCCUUCGUGAGCUAAUGGUGGUCUCCCAUGAUUUCCUUCAAAAUCCGCACAACUGUAAUAAGCCAGAUACCUUAGACUUACAAGGACAGCAUUCACUAACAGCUUUGAAAUGUGUAUACCCAUUGCUGCUUUGAAAACAAGGCCAAAACAGCAUUUUAUUUUUACUGAACAUUAUUAGAGAGCUCUCCACUAAGCCUGUCCAGAACUUUUGUAUUAUUUGAGAUGAAACAAGAAGAGGAAGCUUCUUCUCUAGAAAUUUUGUACUAGUGAGGUUUUUUUAUUCAGCUGAACCCAAAAGCAGAAUUUGGAUCAGAGGUUUUAUUGUAAAAUCUCCAUUACUUCCUGUAGAUUUUCCUAUUGCUGUGCAGCCCAAUUGAGCAGAUGGUAUUAUUCAUCUAUUUUUCUUCUUUGAACUGCGACUGUAACUGUCAUUUGUCUUCUGACAGUCUUAUCUUCCUGUUUUUGGUGGGGUUUUUUUUGUUUGUUUGUUUGUUUGUUUUUCCUAAAAUAUUUGGUGAUCUGGUCAAAAGCAUGCUGAGAAAUCGUUACGUGUUACUACCCUGGGUAAAUUGCCUUCCAAGUUCUGCAGGUGAAUUUCAUCUCUAAUCAGAUUCCUGCUGCAUGACAUCAGCUGUAUAGAAUUCAAAUCAAUACAAAAGUCCUCUUGCAGGUUUGAGCUCCCUCUGAAGGAUCAGCCAUUUCAUUUAUCAGCUAAAUGAUAUACCUGAUAUAUACUUGUUGCUGGAAUAUACCUGGGAUGGUCUGAGUGACAGUCUUCAUUUCUGGUUUGGUGUCACUGCAGACCCGGACUGCUAAAUGGGUGCCUUCUUCUGGAUUGAACUCAAAGUAAGCACGGACCAAGGUACAAAAAUAAUCAAAACAAGUUGCUAUUGAAUAGGAUUUGCAAGUGAGGAUUCUUGCAAGCAGAAGGCUGAGGCUGAAAAGUGAAAGCUGCAGAGGCUUUCUGACUUUUUAAGAGAAAAACACUGCCUCAUCUUUUCUCCUGAUACACACUGGUACUCUCUCUGCUCCUCUGCACCUGCAGAAAUGGAUGGAUGCUCCAAGUCUGUUCUGUUUCUCUUGGAAGAACUGUGCUAGACAGCUCAGCAGUCUGCAGGUGCCAGCCAGAGCAUGUCUUGCCAAGCAAAGGAGACUGCUUUGUGCCUCUGAAGGAAGGCUCGGGGCAGGUUUUACACUGGAGAACUUAUCUACAACAUAGAGUUCUUCCUAUGUAAGACAGACAAAUCAUAAGCCAUGCAUCAAAUACUGGUUCAGGGGAGCUCAACGAGUCCUCUCAGAUGAAUACAAAAUUCACCUAAAAAUGGAUUUCCAGAAGAACUGACAAGUUGGUUGUUGUGACACAUGGACUUUUUGCAGCUUCCAUGAAGAUGCAAGGGUGAGAAGUAUUGCGGAGUUAAGAGAAGAGAAAGUCUCUCCAUCUCUCUGUCAUCCUGCUCAGACCCGAGAUUUAGACAAGGAAGAAUGGAAGAUUCGCUCGAAGGCGGCCUGAGAGUCUGCUGAGAAAGGAUGAGCCACAGCAGAGGAGGAGGAGAUUCAAGAAGGAAACAACAACCCAAGAGCAAGGAGGUUGUGAAUCAGCCAAACCUCUGGGAGACAUCAUGCACAGAGGAGGAGACACCAAGACUCCAUGCUCAGGAAAACUGAUAUACUUCUGUUAGUAGUCUUGGGUCUCAUUUGCAUUACCAUGCAUUACCAGUACUUAGAGAUAUGUUUAACUUUAAGGACAUGGGUGAUUGUGGUCUGAAAGCAGCAAUGUGGUUUUAUCUGCUUAUGUGCUCUAUAUUCUCAAAGGGAAACUGUUCCCACUUUUCAGAAACAAAACCUAAGAAUGUGACUGGGAAAAUGAGCCUGGGACAGAAAAAUCAGACCAACAGUCUAAAAAGAUAUAAAAUAAAAUAAAAUAAAAUAUGUCACAGCUUAUUGUAAAAAAAAAUCAUUUCUAACUAAGAAAAAGUGACUUGCAGGACUAAUUUGAGAAUAUAUUUGUCAUAAGCCAGCAAAGAUGAGCCAAGCUUUUUAAAUCAGUCCAUCCCUGCCUCCUUUGGCUGGUAGCAAGGAGAAAGAAACUUGGUGUGCAGCUGGAAGACUGAUGCCAAGCUAAUCGAAUGUGCGUGCAGAGGGAGCAGCAGAUGACAAGGACAGGAUUGGCAGGAUGUCGCCAGAUUGUUUGAUUAGCAAUGGGAUGGCUCAAGUGCUCCCUGUCCUACCAGGAACUUGGCACAGAUGCUGACACGUGACUCAGUCCCCAAGCAGUUGUUCUCUGCAGCACUGUUUGAAAAAGGGCUCUGCUUCUCCAAAAACAGGAAGGGUAUUAACAAAAACAAAAACAAGGAUGAGAAAGAAAGGCUAUGAGACUGUGUCUAUAAAUGUUAGAUUCUGGCUAUUCUUUCUGUUAAUACCACCCAAACUUCAGCUGAAAUGAAAUAUUUGACUUGGGAUAAAAAUCAGAUAGUCUGAAAUUUAACCCAGCAAAAGUAAUAUGAGGGAGCAUUGAUGAGUGGGUAUUUUCCUUCCCCUACAGUUUCGCCAUCCAUGUUAUUGCUUUCUUUCUGUGUGUCAGUUUAGACCAACCUGCCACAAAAAAAAAUAUUAUUUUUUUUCCUAGGAGACAAAUAUGGUGAGAAAGGCAGCAACACUAUCUUCUAACACCAAAGUUGCAAAUCUAUUCUGGUGAAGCUAAGUGAAAAAUGAAGCAAACUGAUUUCAGAGACAUAUACGUAGGCCUAUGGAGAAAGCCCCAAGCAUAAAAACUAGCUCUCAGCACGAAACAUGGGUAGCAAUUGCCUUUGAUUACUAACAGCAGGUUUUUCAGUCUAUGGACAAACGUGUAGAUUAUGAGCAAUUUUCUGAGGCAUCUAAAUCAGCAUAUUCAGAUAGAAACAAAUUUUUGAUGCUAUGGCAUCACAGCUACAGUCCAAAUUACAUUGCACAGAUGUACAUGUAAAUAUCUUACUUGUACUGAAGGCAGCUCAGAAAAAGCAGGGAAUCUGACAUCUCCCCUGAGAUUUUUAAGAUAGUUCAAAUGAUAAAAUAAGUAAGUUCCUCAGAAACAAGAUGGGUGUUGGUGACAGUUUGUACAUUCAGCACAACAAAUAAUCAGCUGCUAUGAAUUUGGAUAACCCUGUUAAAGCCAACAGAACAGAAACAGUUUUUAUCAAGUUACAGCUAGUCCAGAGCAUAUACAUGAGACUUGUACAUAACAAUACUGCAGAUAUAUGGAGAAACUGUAAUGCAGACAGCAGCUUUAUAGUGGGCUUUCAUAUGCCUAUAUACUUCUAAACUGUAUGUGUAACUACAUUCUUGUCAGUUCUUCAGCCUUUUCAGAUGGAUAUGUUACUUCUCUCUAACGUGUCAGUUUUCUGACUAACCUGUCAUAACAAUCUAUGACACCACUCUCUAACAGCUUACCACUGCUUUACAUGAAAUGUGAGGGUUUGUCUGCAGUCACACAUAGGAAUCAUAUUCCAAAAUAAGAGUGUGGGGGAGACGUCUGUAAGUAUAGAUGUAAGCGCAUACGUAUGUAUACGUAGACAGACACACAGAUCCAAAAUAUCUGCCUGUGAAUCAUUGGAAUUACAAUCACAGAGAAUGAAGCAGCACAAGAUGGGAUAUUUCUCCUGAGCUGCACACUGUUUCUCAGCUUUGUGGAAAACUCCUUUUAUGCUGUGACCACAAAUGAUGCACCAUCAGUGGAGUGAUACCGUGUUGCUGAGAAAUGAACUGCUUGUUUGAAUGGACUUUGCAUUCGUUAUAGAAAAGGAACAACUCCAGUUUUAGAUAGAUUCAUUUAUUUACUUUGUGCUGUUUCCAUGACUCAUAAUCCUUUUAAUAAAUCAAACUAAAGAACAUAACAUCAAAUCAGAGAAUCAUAGAAUCGUUAGAGUUGGAAGGAAUGCUCAUAGGCCAAGGAGGUGCAAGGAGAUACAGGUUCUUGAUUUGAGUCCCUCUGGAACACUUGAAAACAUAAAAAUUGUUCAAAAUAUCAUCUUUCCAAAUUAAUAUGUGUUCUUUUUCUGUAUUGUGCACACCGACAUGACAUGAUUCCUGGAAUUUCCUGCUGAUAGAACAUGUUUCCAAAGAUGAGAAGAGAUCCAAAACUUUACAUUAGCAUAGUUUAAAUUCACAAGUCCAUGGCCUCAGCCUACAGACAAUGAUGCCCCAGUCUCACUUGCAGCUAUUUCCAUUAGACGAGUGUGGCUGAUGGGUCAGAAUGGAAAAACUCAUGGGAAAAAAAGACAACUUAAAAUCCAAAAGAUAAUGUUGGAGGUUUUAUCUGUGCUUCUGACAAUACACGGCUGUUAACUCUACUAAUCUGGGCUUUCUCUAAGGGCUGGCAGGGAAUUCAACAUAACCAAAUCUACUCUCUCUGAGGUGCAGGAACUUUCUGGAGCUUAUAAUGAAAGUCUGGAUGCUCAUGGAAAUCAAAGCUGCAUGCUCCUGCCCACAGAAGAGACAGGCAGCAUUGCCACUGCCCUGUGGCCCCAGAAAUAGAAUGGAAAUCUUUGAGGGACCUAAGAGAGAGGACUACAGCGAACACACAAUCUGUGUUUCCUGUAAACUUCUUCAUUUUCCCUCCAUCCUACUUUCAAAUGAAAACAGUCCCUACUGUUCUGAUGUAGGGGAAAAGUCUUUCCUGAUACAUAGCUUAAACUUAAAUGCUUAAAAGAGAAGGCAAACAGGUCCCAGAAAGGCUUAUCUGCAUCACAGAGGACACUAGUACCUCCUACCCCUCUCUUUCCAGUUGAAACUUAUCUUGGAUGUUUCAGAAAAAAAAGAUGAAGAGAAAGAGAAAAACAGCCAAGCAUUGUGUAAGGAGGUGUGAAACAUGUUUCUGGCCUUUACUUUCAUUCUGUGCUACCAUCUCAAAAUCUUUUCCUUGUUUCUGGGCAUCCUGUGUGACCCUUGUAAUUACAGUGAAUGUCUCUCAGGCAACAUUAACCCCUGCCCUGAUCCAUCUCUAACAAUGAUUGCAUUAAAAACUUCACUGUGUCUGCAGCUAUUUAAUCAUUCAUCACCUGGAAAGUGGUACUGCUCUACUGCUCUGUGACUGUGGCCAUUAGUGGUGACAAGCAAGGUCUUCCUGAAAUUAAGAAUAUGACAGUAUGAGCUGGCUUAGAUUCGGCCUUUUACAGAUACAUCCAAUAAUGAAAACUCCUUCACAUCGGGACUGUCCAAAGCCCGCUGACGUCAGUGGAGAGAUCUGAUCUCAGUGGGCUUUAAAUCAGACUCUAUAGCUAAGGCUUCCAAAGCAGCUGGGGGGAUUCAGGCACGUAUCUUUCAUUAAAGUGAGGGUAUAUUAAAGCAAAUGGAAGAUAUGUGUCUGAAAUCCCCUAGACUGCUUUGAAAAUCUAAAAUACUGUGCAAGCUGUACAGCUUUCUCUAUAAAAAUAGCUGCCAAAUCUAGCUUUGGUAAAGGCAAUAGAACUGCAUUAAAAGAUCCGCAGAAAGGCCUGGUCCCUCUGAUCCUUUAGGAAAACAGAGAGAAGGAUGGCCAGAGUGCUUUAUUUUCAGCUUUAAACCGUUCCCACGUCAAAGACAUUUGCUCGAGCAAUUUAUGGGAAUGGCAUAGUAGCCAAAAGAAAAGUAAUGCUACUCUUGUCUACGUAGAUGUCACACUUAUAUGGCUCAUCAAGCUGGGAUCAGGACUGCAACAUCUCUCGUGGACAUUAAGGAAUAUUUGAUGUGGGUUUCUCCAUGAGCCUAUGUGCAAGGCUGAUCUGGUUGCAAAUUCAUGUUGAUAAGGCUGAGCCCAAGACAGCACCACCAUCAUUCCAACAGCUCCUCUCAGGAGAAGUCUUGGUAUAGACCCUUCUCCUCCUGUCCAGCUUUCAUGGGGACACAGCACUGUACCUCUCAGCCCCACGUAAGAACUCCCUCUGUUUUCUGAGAAGCAGUGAGACAAGCCUUCUUUCCUAUAGCCCACAAUGACAAUCUACUUAUUAUUCAGACACAGCCUCGCCUAAUUACCUUGUUAUUUUGUGGCAGGCUAGAACAAGGUAGCACCAUUAAGUCAAGAGUCUUCAUUUUAGCCAUCCACUGCCUUCAUUCUUGAUUUAGAAGGCAGUGGCACAAGAGUGCUCUCAGUCACACACAUCCCAUACAGCUCAGGUUGUCGUGCCACUAGCUUACCUUGGUUGUGUAUCUGCUUAUAGACUUUUUUCUUUAUUUCUUGCAUUUUUGGACUACCAAGAACAAGUUACAUUCUGUUAGAGUGACAAAGAGUAAUUGCAUUUUACGUGUUAUUUCUUGAUGGUAGAGGUACUUCAAACCUCAGAUUGAUUCCAGAUUUCAAAUAUCAGAAAGUUUGAUGCAGUCAGCUCAGGGUGUCCAAUUCUGACCUGUCUCCUGCAAACACAAUCAAAACCUUAUUAUAAGACUCAGAGCUCAGACAAAUGAUAAGCCAAGUCCAGGGAUCUGCCCAUAGUUCAUAUUUUUAGUGCAGGAAGAAUUGACUCAAAGGGAAAAUUGAUGUACAAGAAGAUGUGAUAAAGCUGACGUCCAGAUAGCAUUUGCUCUGCUGAAAUGUUACAACCUGAGCAAGACAAUCUGUGAAAGAGGUAAUUGAGCAUUUGAAAAGCACCUGUUAAUGACGGGUAAGAUAACAACCCCGAGGAACCACCUGUCAGGGCAGGUGAUGAACUCUCCCUCUGAUCUGUUUCUUACUACAGUUUUCUCCAGGGAAACUGGUAGCACAUUCACAUGUCUUUCUAGAGAAAGUUCAUAAUAACAGAGGAUUUAAAUAAACAGAAGAUUGAUUUUAAUGGAAGGUGAAUCAUUUGUAUUUCUUUUUUCUUUUAUCACGCAGCUGAAAUGUUUUAUCUAGCUUAGAUUAUGAGGAACGUAAAUAAAUUUAUGUUGAAUGUUAAAUAAACAUUUGCUUUCUUUUUUCCAA